rnacentral:rRNA from 1 species
AAAUGAAUAGACGGGGACCCGCACAAGCAGCGGAGCAUGUGGUUUAAUUCGAAGCAACGCGAAAAACCUUACCAAGACUUGACAUCGUAUGACCACUAUAGAGAUAUAGUAUUCUCUUCGGAGACAUAUAGACAGGUGGUGCAUGGUUGUCGUCAGCUCGUGUCGUGAGAUGUUGGGUUAAGUCCCGCAACGAGCGCAACCCUUGUGAAUAGUUGCCAAUAUUAAGUUAGGAACUCUAUUCAGACUGCCGUGGAUAACACGGAGGAAGGUGGGGACGACGUCAAAUCAUCAUGCCCCUUAUGUCUUGGGCUACACACGUGCUACAAUGGCUAUUACAAAGAGCAGCGAAUCGGUAACGACAAGCGAAUCUCAUAAAGAUAGUCUCAGUUCGGACUGUGGGCUGCAACCCGCCCACACGAAGUCGGAGUUGCUAGUAAUCCCGAAUCAGCAUGUCGGGGUGAAUGCGUUCCCGGGUCUUGUACACACCGCCCGU